rnacentral:rRNA from 1 species
UGGGGGAUAUUGCACAAUGGGGGAAACCCUGAUGCAGCAACGCCGCGUGAAUGAUGAAGGUCUUCGGAUUGUAAAAUUCUGUUCUUGGUGAAGAUAAUGACGGUAGCCAAGGAGAAAGCUCCGGCUAACUACGUGCCAGCAGCCGCGGUAAUACGUAGGGAGCGAGCGUUGUCCGGAUUUACUGGGUGUAAAGGGUGCGCAGGCGGCUCUGCAAGUCAGGCGUGAAAGGUAGGGGCUCAACCCCUAAACUGCGCUUGAAACUGUGGAGCUUGAGUGAAGUAGAGGCAGGCGGAAUUCCCGGUGUAGCGGUGAAAUGCGUAGAGAUCGGGAGGAACACCAGUGGCGAAGGCGGCCUGCUGGGCUUUAACUGACGCUCAGGCACGAAAGCAUGGGUAGCAAACAGG